CUCAAAAUUCCAAAGGAAAAUUAUUUCCAAGAUAAAACUCCAAACAUCAUGAAACUAUAUGACUAAGGGAGAAAAAAGACAUUUUCAGAUAAGCAAGAUCUCAAAUAAUUUGCCUCCCAUGCAACCUUUCUCAUGAAACUACUUGAGGAUGUGCUCCAUCAAAACAAGAUAGUAAACCAAGACAUAGGAAGAUAUGAAGUACAGGAAACAGAGUCAACACAGGAAGAAGAGUAAGGAAUUUCCCUCCAGGAUGGCAAAGGAGAUCCCAGGGUGAUAGCUGCACCAGAAGUCGAGAGUACCCAGUCUAGAUUGGAGCUGUGUGAUUCAAGAGACAGACAUGUUAAAGGAUGUUUGAGCAAUACCCCUGAAGCCAUGGAAUGGUUUUGUGAAUCUGAGGACAGAAUGGCCAGCUCUUAUUCUAUGGCUGACCUUUCUGCCAGCAAGUUUUCCUUGUGUUUAAAAGCACUACGAUUGAAGCAUAAAAGACAAAUGGAAAGAUGAAAUACAGAAGCCCCACACUUACAAGCCCUUCCAUAUGCCAGGCAUGUUCCUUAGGUUAUCAUAUUUAGCCCUCAUGGCCUCCUUCCCUUUGUCUGCAACAUC
ensembl:lincRNA